GACGACGCUGGCGGCGUGCUUAACACAUGCAAGUUGAACGGUUCAAGCUGAGCAGCAAUGUGAGGGUUGGAUAGUAGCGGACGGGUGAGUAACGCGUGAGCAACCUACCUUUGUGAGGGGGACAACAGCUGGAAGCGGCUGCUAAUACCGCAUAAGGCCACGACCCCGAUUGGGGAUGUGGUAAAAGAUUUAUCGCACAAAGAUGGGCUCGCGUCCCAUUAGCUAGUUGGUGAGGUAACGGCCCACCAAGGCGACGAUGGGUAGCCGACCUGAGAGGGUGAUCGGCCACACUGGAACUGAGACACGGUCCAGACUCCUACGGGAGGCAGCAGUGGGGAAUAUUGGGCAAUGGGCGCAAGCCUGACCCAGCAACGCCGCGUGAGGGAAGAAGGCCUUCGGGUUGUAAACCUCUGUCCUUGGGGACGAAAAAAAUGACGGUACCCAAGGAGGAAGCUCCGGCUAACUACGUG
rnacentral:rRNA from 1 species